rnacentral:rRNA from 1 species
UACGUAGGGGGCAAGCGUUGUCCGGAAUCAUUGGGCGUAAAGCGCGUGUAGGCGGCCCGGUAAGUCCGCUGUGAAAGUCGGGGGCUCAACCCUCGAAUGCCGGUGGAUACUGUCGGGCUAGAGUGCGGGAGAGGCGAGUGGAAUUCCUGGUGUAGCGGUGAAAUGCGCAGAUAUCAGGAGGAACACCAAUUGCGAAGGCAGCUCGCUAGAACGUAACUGACGCUGAGACGCGAAAGCGUGGGGAGCAAACAGG